UACGAAGGGGGCUAGCGUUGUUCGGAUUUACUGGGCGUAAAGCGCGUGUAGGCGGGUCGUUAAGUUGGGGGUGAAAUCCCGAGGCUCAACCUCGGAACUGCCCUCAAAACUGGCGACCUGGACUCAAGCAGAGGCAAGUGGAAUUGCCAGUGUAGAGGUGAAAUUCGUAGAUAUUCGCAGGAACACCAGUGGCGAAGGCGACUUGCUGGGCUUGUAGUGACGCUGAGACGAGAAAGCGUGGGGAGCAAACAGG
rnacentral:rRNA from 1 species